CAUCUCGAGAGGUAUUAAAUCACGUAAAAUCGCGUGUAUGCAUCGUAACAAAAAUAAUAUUAAAAAAUAUCAUAAUAAGGACUAGACCUUGAUCGAGUGACAGCGCGACAGAGAAAACGUAACCUCACAUUUAGUGAGCGAUUGUGGGUAAGACAAGACAUUAAUGUAAGAAGCUGGUAGGUGCUCGGGAAUGUUGACGUGGAAUAUCAAAACGGUCAGUGGUGAAGGUUAGUACGCAUGCGCCACCCCCCGCAGAGCCAAUCACCGCCCGAGAAAUGGUAGUAGCCGCGUCCAAGUCAGCUUCAGGAGUAUUCAACUGCUUCUCUUCUCUUACUUGCUCUCACUUAUUCUGGCUGACGAAUAAUAAGGAACAGAAAGAGAAGAAACGAGUUCAGCUUCUCAGCUUCUAUUUUAGUACUCCCUCUGUAUGAAAUCAUCUUCACUGUUGUAUAGAGUAUGGAGUAAUGAAAGAUGACGAAGAGAAGACGAGACAAGAGUAAUAAGCUAAAAAAUAAUAAUGAUGAUAAUAAUAAGAGUAAGACGAAAAGAAGGGGUUAAAGACUGUAUACAAGGAUCCGGUAAAAGAGUAAAGUUGAUUGCGUCGAGGCUGCGUAAAUCUUGUUGAUGGAAAUUGUCCGCGUACCUUCAGUUUGUUCGGCAAUUACAUCCUGCCGUGAAUGCGUUGGUCAGUAGCACUAUACUCUCUUCCAUAUACUUAUGUAUAACCUCUUCCUCCUUUUAUUUUUCUCGGUAUGUAGUCCGUAGUUCAUCGGAUGCCUUUUACCUUCAGUACUUAUCCAACCCCUGAUCGCGCCUUUUAUUCCACCCCGUCGAGUCUUCCAGAGAUUAAUGAUCCUCUCUCUUAAGAUUUUUUAAUUCUAAAGACUGUGCACAAAUAACUACCGUCAUCUGUCUUGACCAUCCAAUUACCGUCUCAGUUAUGUGUGGAAUAACAUUUUCAUAUUAUUCAUACUUUUUUUGGUCAUUUAUUCGUCAUCAGUUAUCGUCAACCAAAUUCACUGUCGAAAUAACUGAAACUGCAAGAGUUCCUAGUUUUUUUUCAGAGCUUAACAUAAUAUUGUAUGUACAUAAUAAUAGAAGGAGUUAUCGUACUGUUCCUUACAAGACGCUUCUGUUGAAAAUUUAAAUUAACUCUUAAUUUAAAAUUAACAACUCUGAGAGUCACUGUAGUGUAUCAACAUCCAGCGAAGUAACUGUAAAAAAUUAAUACUGUCUAUCAAUAAUAAGACAUUGAUGCUUAUAUAGACGAAUAGAAGAAAUAAUUGAAAAAAAAAUAAUACACUCGAUGGAUAGAGGACGAAUAUCGUAACAGUAAAAUAUAUAUGUAUAUAUACGACAGACCGUGACAGUAGUAGUGUAGUGUACUAGAUGGAGUAGUGUUGAGA